UGGAUUGAGCUCACGCACUCUCUGUUCAAGCAUGACCCCGCCGCCUGGGAAAUGGCCCACAAUGCUGUCCCCAUGGAGUCCGGCUAUGCAGCAGACGAGCUGGACGCAGGCUACCACCAAUAUGGAGACUACCCUGGUGACAUGCCCAUGGAUGGAGAGAUGGGGAUGUCCGAUGUUGAAUACCAAAGCGGUGGCGGCGGCAUGACCUACGACAUGAGGCAACCGGGAUAUGCUGAGCGCUACUAGGACAACGGCACUGAAGGGAUGAGAGAUGGGGGGGGGGAGCAGCAGCAGAAGAAGAGGAGAGAAGCGG